rnacentral:rRNA from 1 species
UUAAGCGACUAAGCGUACACGGUGGAUGCCCUGGCAGUCAGAGGCGAUGAAGGGCGUGCUAAUCUGCGAUAAGCGCCGGUAAGGUGAUAUGAACCGUUAUAACCGGCGAUACCCGAAUGGGGAAACCCAGUGUGAUUCGUCACACUAUCAUUAACUGAAUCCAUAGGUUAAUGAGGCGAACCGGGGGAACUGAAACAUCUAAGUACCCCGAGGAAAAGAAAUCAACCGAGAUUCCCCCAGUAGCGGCGAGCGAACGGGGAGGAGCCCAGAGCCUGAAUCAGCAUGUGUGUUAGUGGAAGCGUCUGGAAAGGCGCGCGAUACAGGGUGACAGCCCCGUACACAAAAGCGCAUGUGCUGUGAGCUCGAUGAGUAGGGCGGGACACGUGGUAUCCUGUCUGAAUAUGGGGGGACCAUCCUCCAAGGCUAAAUACUCCUGACUGACCGAUAGUGAACCAGUACCGUGAGGGAAAGGCGAAAAGAACCCCGGCGAGGGGAGUGAAAAAGAACCUGAAACCGUGUACGUACAAGCAGUGGGAGCACAGGUUUACCUGUGUGACUGCGUACCUUUUGUAUAAUGGGUCAGCGACUUAUAUUCUGUAGCAAGGUUAACCGCAUAGGGGAGCCGGAGGGAAACCGAGUCUUAAUUGGGCGUUAAGUUGCAGGGUAUAGACCCGAAACCCGGUGAUCUAGCCAUGGGCAGGUUGAAGGUUGGGUAACACUAACUGGAGGACCGAACCGACUAAUGUUGAAAAAUUAGCGGAUGACCUGUGGCUGGGGGUGAAAGGCCAAUCAAACCGGGAGAUAGCUGGUUCUCCCCGAAAGCUAUUUAGGUAGCGCCUCGUGAAUUCAUCUCCGGGGGUAGAGCACUGUUUCGGCUAGGGGGCCAUCCCGGCUUACCAACCCGAUGCAAACUGCGAAUACCGGAGAAUGUUAUCACGGGAGACACACGGCGGGUGCUAACGUCCGUCGUGAAGAGGGAAACAACCCAGACCGCCAGCUAAGGUCCCAAAGUCAUGGUUAAGUGGGAAACGAUGUGGGAAGGCCCAGACAGCCAGGAUGUUGGCUUAGAAGCAGCCAUCAUUUAAAGAAAGCGUAAUAGCUCACUGGUCGAGUCGGCCUGCGCGGAAGAUGUAACGGGGCUAAACCAUGCACCGAAGCUGCGGCAGCGAACGUAUCACCCAAGACAACUUUACGGAGUUGACGAUUGACGGAGCGAAGCGACGUCAAAGCGUUCAUUAAAGUCGAGUUGGCUUAGGGAUACGUUCGUUGGGUAGGGGAGCGUUCUGUAAGCCUGUGAAGGUGGCCUGUGAGGGUUGCUGGAGGUAUCAGAAGUGCGAAUGCUGACAUAAGUAACGAUAAAGCGGGUGAAAAGCCCGCUCGCCGGAAGACCAAGGGUUCCUGUCCAACGUUAAUCGGGGCAGGGUGAGUCGACCCCUAAGGCGAGGCCGAAAGGCGUAGUCGAUGGGAAACGGGUUAAUAUUCCCGUACUUGGUGUUACUGCGAAGGGGGGACGGAGAAGGCUAUGUUGGCCGGGCGACGGUUGUCCCGGUUUAAGCGUGUAGGUGUGUGUUCCAGGUAAAUCCGGUUCACUUUAACACUGAGGCGUGACGACGAGGCACUACGGUGCUGAAGCAACAAAUGCCCUGCUUCCAGGAAAAGCCUCUAAGCAUCAGGUAACAUCAAAUCGUACCCCAAACCGACACAGGUGGUCAGGUAGAGAAUACCAAGGCGCUUGAGAGAACUCGGGUGAAGGAACUAGGCAAAAUGGUGCCGUAACUUCGGGAGAAGGCACGCUGACACGUAGGUGAAGUGAUUUACUCAUGGAGCUGAAGUCAGUCGAAGAUACCAGCUGGCUGCAACUGUUUAUUAAAAACACAGCACUGUGCAAACACGAAAGUGGACGUAUACGGUGUGACGCCUGCCCGGUGCCGGAAGGUUAAUUGAUGGGGUCAGCGCAAGCGAAGCUCCUGAUCGAAGCCCCGGUAAACGGCGGCCGUAACUAUAACGGUCCUAAGGUAGCGAAAUUCCUUGUCGGGUAAGUUCCGACCUGCACGAAUGGCGUAAUGAUGGCCAGGCUGUCUCCACCCGAGACUCAGUGAAAUUGAACUCGCUGUGAAGAUGCAGUGUACCCGCGGCAAGACGGAAAGACCCCGUGAACCUUUACUAUAGCUUGACACUGAACAUUGAGCCUUGAUGUGUAGGAUAGGUGGGAGGCUUUGAAGUGUGGACGCCAGUCUGCAUGGAGCCGACCUUGAAAUACCACCCUUUAAUGUUUGAUGUUCUAACGUGGACCCGUUACCCGGGUUGCGGACAGUGUCUGGUGGGUAGUUUGACUGGGGCGGUCUCCUCCUAAAGAGUAACGGAGGAGCACGAAGGUUGGCUAAUCCUGGUCGGACAUCAGGAGGUUAGUGCAAUGGCAUAAGCCAGCUUGACUGCGAGCGUGACGGCGCGAGCAGGUGCGAAAGCAGGUCAUAGUGAUCCGGUGGUUCUGAAUGGAAGGGCCAUCGCUCAACGGAUAAAAGGUACUCCGGGGAUAACAGGCUGAUAC